rnacentral:rRNA from 1 species
UACGUAGGCAGCGAGCGUUGUUCGGAGUUACUGGGCGUAAAGAGUGCGUAGGCGGUUUUCUAAGUUUGGUGUGAAAUCUCCCGGCUUAACUGGGAGGGUGCGCCGAAAACUGGAAGGCUUGAGUAUGGGAGAGGUAAGCGGAAUUCCUGGUGUAGCGGUGAAAUGCGCAGAUAUCAGGAGGAACACCGGUGGCGAAGGCGGUUCUCUGGGCCUUACCUGACGCUGAGGAGCGAAAGCGUGGGGAGCAAACAGG